CUUGAAAAAAUCAACUCGGACGAAUACUACAUUUUGUGUAUACAUAGGAAAAAUAGUUGUACAUCUAGAUAGUAUGAUGUAUACUUGUGCAGAUGUCUAAAUUCGGCUUAGAGCUGGUUGAAGUAUGAUUAAUUGUUAAAAAAAUAUUCUAUUAAUAUUUCACAGAAUUAAAUAAUAAAAAUUAGAAUACAGGUUAUCUCGUGUUCGUAAUAAAAUAUUGUUCAUUGUUCCAAAGGGUUAAGUAGUUUUGUUUAUUCUCGAAAUUUCAUGAAAGAAACAUUUUACUGAAUGUGUGAAAAAAGAUAUUUUCAAAUUAAUUUUAUUGUAAGUUUAUGUACCCAUAACAACCAUCUUCAGUAAGAUAAUAUAAUCAUUUUAUUUAACUGAAAUAAUGGCAACAUCUUUGUCAGCAUAUUGGGUAAAGUUUUUCAAAGGUGCUGGCUUUCCACAAGAUGUUGCGACCAAACAUGCAGUUGUAUUUUCUAACAAUCGUAUUAAACCAGAUAUGUUGCCAGACUUAGAUAAGCCUAGUCUUAAAGAAAUGGGCAUAACUUUAAUGGGAGAUAUGAUUGCUAUUUUAAGAUAUGCAAAAAAAGUAGUGGAAGAAACGACGUGUGAAAAAUUUCUCGUCGACACAGAAAAUCCAGAUACUCCAGCCAAACUUGUUAAUAAACCGAUAAUUAAAAAAGCAGUGACAAAAGUAACCGCUAAAUCUCCUGUAGUAACUAAAACGAAACCUUCUACGGUUACUAUUCCAAAAAUAGUUAAAAACACAUCUACUGUAGUUCCGAAGAUAACAACUAUUAAGAAAUCAAGCGUUGUAUUACCAGAAAGUAAAAAAACUACAAAUUCAUUGAAAAGGACGUUGGAAACCAAGGAAGGAUUUAAUGAAAGUUAUAGCGAUGAUUGGUCAAUUAUUGCUAAGAAAAAACCAAAGCCACAAACUAACAAUGACGAGGAUAAUGAUAAAGUAGGAUAUACGGUGAUUAUACCAAAAAUGGCAGCUUUGAGAAAUUUGCCUGCUAAAAAAGUAGUUGAACAAAAGCGGACGGUAUUUGAUAGAUUAGGAGAUAGUUCAGUAACUAGUACAACCAAUUUACCUGAGACUUCUCCUACAUUUAAUGUUACUGGACUGGGUAAAAAUACAUAUAAGAGAACAAUAAGCGUUUUCAAUCGUCUUGGUGAUAAAGAUGCUAAUAAAAGUGAUACGCCGCAAUUAGGAAUAUUAAAGAAUGGUACUACCAAGACGACUUCGCAGGGUAUUCUAAAAAAUAGUAGUUCAAAUUUAAGAAUAUCUAGUGUAGCUAAGAAGAAGAUUCUUGCUGCGGGUACGAUGCAUGCCGAUCAUGAAGUUAAUAAUAAAACUGCUUCGAAUAGCGUCAAGCGGUUAGUGCGUACAACUAAAAAAAUUACUUUCAAUGAAAAUGGAUCGAAUUUAAACAAAACAAGAAAUUUCGAAGUUACAUCUGGCAAAUUAGCUUCUGAACGACUUGCUAUAAUACCAGCAAAAGCACGAUUAGGUGUGCUUAAAUCGAGUAGCCCGAAACAAGUUACUUUCAAUAGGGUCGCAACUGUUACGCACGUUAAAAAACCAGAUGUUUUUAGUCGUCUUGGCAUUUAAAGAAAAAUUCAAACACAUUAUUGAGACAUUAUUUCCAAUUACAUAUUCUUUGUACAAAGUAAUAUUAUUUUUUCUCCUGUAAAGAGUACACUGUAAACAUAUAUGUUUUAAUAUAAAAGAAAAUCUAUCAAACUUCUCAAAUAGAUUAGGGUGUCCAUCCAUAGAUGUCCAAGCAAAUAUUUUGCAACUGAUCGAAAUCCCAAGAAAAUUUAAUAGGAGAAAUUUGCACAACUCUGAGUCAGCUACCAAAUAUACGUUUCGGUUCAGACCACAAUAAUCCAGUGAAAUAUACAAAAAUAUAAACGACUGGUGAUGGACACAGCUUGAAUGGAAAAUCUUAGGCUGGUCAGUAGGGACUAGUAUGGCAUUUAACAUGUUAACAAAAUUAGAUUUGCAUUAUAUUAUUAACGAAUUAAAAUAAAUAUAAUUCUAAUA
rnacentral:misc_RNA from 1 species